rnacentral:rRNA from 1 species
GACGAACGCUGGCGGCGUGCUUAACACAUGCAAGUCGAACGGAAAGGCCCUGCUUUUGUGGGGUGCUCGAGUGGCGAACGGGUGAGUAACACGUGAGUAACCUGCCCUUGACUUUGGGAUAACUUCAGGAAACUGGGGCUAAUACCGGAUAGGAGCUCCUGCUGCAUGGUGGGGGUUGGAAAGUUUCGGCGGUUGGGGAUGGACUCGCGGCUUAUCAGCUUGUUGGUGGGGUAGUGGCUUACCAAGGCUUUGACGGGUAGCCGGCCUGAGAGGGUGACCGGCCACAUUGGGACUGAGAUACGGCCCAGACUCCUACGGGAGGCAGCAGUGGGGAAUAGUGCACAAUGGGCGGAAGCCGGAUGCAGCAACGCCGCGUGCGGGAUGACGGCCUUCGGGUUGUAAACCGCUUUCGCCUGUGACGAAGCGUGAGUGACGGUAAUGGGUAAAGAAGCACCGGCUAACUACGUG